rnacentral:rRNA from 1 species
UACGUAGGGUGCUAGCGUUGUUCGGAAUCAUUGGGCGUAAAGCGCGUGUAGGCGGUCAAUUAAGUCGGGUGUGAAAUCCCUCGGCUCAACCGGGGAAGUGCAUUCGAAACUAAUUGGCUGGAGAGUGGUAGAUGAAGGUGGAAUUCCAAGUGUAGAGGUGAAAUUCGUAGAUAUUUGGAGGAAUACCGGCGGCGAAGGCGGCCUUCUGGACCAUUUCUGACGCUGAGACGCGAAAGCGUGGGGAGCAAACAGG